rnacentral:rRNA from 1 species
ACACAUGCAGUCGAGCGCCUCGCWCGAAGAGCGKGGACAGGUGAGUAACGCGUGKGAAUCUACCCCUCUCUACRGAACAACAGUUGUAAACGACUGCUAAUACCGUAUACRCCCUUCGGGGGAAAGAUUUAUCGGAGAUGGAUGAGCCCGCGUUGGAUUUUAUAKUUGGUGGGGUAAAGGCCUACCCGGCGACAAUCCAUAKCUGGUCUGAGAGGAUGAUCUCCCACCUGGGACUGAGACAGGCCCCCACUCCUACGGGAGGCASCASUGGGGAAUAUUGKACAUGGGCGCAAGCCUGAUCCCCCAUGCCSCGUGUGUGAUGAARGCCCUAKGGUUGUGUGCACUUUCUCGGUGAAGAUAUGACGGUAACCGUAGAAGAAGCCCCGGCUAACUUCGUGCCCCASCCGCGGUAAUACGAAGGGGGCUAGCGUUGUUCGGAAUUACAGGGCGUAAAGCGCACGUAUGCGGAUCGUUAARUGAGGGGUGAAAUCCCAGGGCUCUCCCUGGAACUGCCUCUCAUACUGKGGAUCUUGAGUUCKAGAGAGGUGAG